rnacentral:sRNA from 1 species
GACGAUAUCAUAUCUCACAUAGGAUACGAUUUACAUA